rnacentral:lncRNA from 12 species
UUUUCAUUCAGCUGGGGAUAAGUAACAGAUUUUGAACAGUGCUUAUGACUCAGUUUUUGUCAAAAAAAUAAACGUAUGAAGGAUCCACUUGUACAGUAACAUAGUUUUCUUCACUUAUUUCAGGUAAGUCUAGAAGCUGGAGUGAAGAAGACCCUAUUCUCAGGAUUUCAGGUUUAGGAGCUUUCCUGCCCUAAACUUGUGAGAUAUACGGGAAUGAAGAA